UACGUAGGUGGCAAGCGUUGUCCGGAAUUAUUGGGCGUAAAGCGCGCGCAGGCGGUUCCUUAAGUCUGAUGUGAAAGCCCCCGGCUUAACCGGGGAGGGGCAUUGGAAACUGGGGGACUUGAGUGCAGAAGAGGAGAGCGGAAUUCCACGUGUAGCGGUGAAAUGCGUAGAGAUGUGGAGGAACACCGGUGGCGAAGGCGGCUCUCUGGUCUGUAACUGACGCUGAGGCGCGAAAGCGUGGGGAGCAAACAGG
rnacentral:rRNA from 1 species